UUUUUUACCCAGAAAACUUACCCUAGUACCGCCCCCCACGGAAAAAUUUUGAAAAACGGGGGGGCUUUCGGGGGCGGGCCCCAAGGGUCCCUGGGUGUUGUCCCCUCGUGUUUUGGGAUGUUGGGGUUAAUUUCCCAAAGAGAGCAACACCCCUUCCUUUAUUUCCCCCCGUUAAGUCGGGGCAUUCUAGGGGGAUUCCGGGGACAAAUCGGAGGAAGGUGGGGAAGAAGUCAAGUUCUCAUGGCCCUUUUGUUCAGGGGUUCCCCCCUGGUUCAAUGGCCGGUACAAAGGGGUGCCAAACCGGGAGGGGGGACCAAUUCCAAAAAACCCGUCUCAAGUCGGAAUGGCGUUUGGCACUUGGCUCCCUGAAGUCCGAAUCGGGUUCAUACCACCUCA
rnacentral:rRNA from 1 species